GGCAAGCACUGAUGAUUAUGACCUUGUGUCAAGACCCUGAGAUCGAUGAAGGUGUCUAAGUCACUACCUCAUCUGAGCUUGUG